rnacentral:miRNA from 1 species
UGGUAGACUGUGGAACGUAGG